rnacentral:rRNA from 2 species
CUCUGGUAUUGAUUGGUGCUUGCAUCAUGAUUUACAUUUGAGUGAGUGGCGAACUGGUGAGUAACACGUGGGAAACCUGCCCAGAAGCGGGGGAUAACACCUGGAAACAGAUGCUAAUACCGCAUAACAACUUGGACCGCAUGGUCCGAGUUUGAAAGAUGGCUUCGGCUAUCACUUUUGGAUGGUCCCGCGGCGUAUUAGCUAGAUGGUGGGGUAACGGCUCACCAUGGCAAUGAUACGUAGCCGACCUGAGAGGGUAAUCGGCCACAUUGGGACUGAGACACGGCCCAAACUCCUACGGGAGGCAGCAGUAGGGAAUCUUCCACAAUGGACGAAAGUCUGAUGGAGCAACGCCGCGUGAGUGAAGAAGGGUUUCGGCUCGUAAAACUCUGUUGUUAAAGAAGAACAUAUCUGAGAGUAACUGUUCAGGUAUUGACGGUAUUUAACCAGAAAGCCACGGCUAACUACGUGCCAGCAGCCGCGGUAAUACGUAGGUGGCAAGCGUUGUCCGGAUUUAUUGGGCGUAAAGCGAGCGCAGGCGGUUUUUUAAGUCUGAUGUGAAAGCCUUCGGCUCAACCGAAGAAGUGCAUCGGAAACUGGGAAACUUGAGUGCAGAAGAGGACAGUGGAACUCCAUGUGUAGCGGUGAAAUGCGUAGAUAUAUGGAAGAACACCAGUGGCGAAGGCGGCUGUCUGGUCUGUAACUGACGCUGAGGCUCGAAAGUAUGGGUAGCAAACAGGAUUAGAUACCCUGGUAGUCCAUACCGUAAACGAUGAAUGCUAAGUGUUGGAGGGUUUCCGCCCUUCAGUGCUGCAGCUAACGCAUUAAGCAUUCCGCCUGGGGAGUACGGCCGCAAGGCUGAAACUCAAAGGAAUUGACGGGGGCCCGCACAAGCGGUGGAGCAUGUGGUUUAAUUCGAAGCUACGCGAAGAACCUUACCAGGUCUUGACAUACUAUGCAAAUCUAAGAGAUUAGACGUUCCCUUCGGGGACAUGGAUACAGGUGGUGCAUGGUUGUCGUCAGCUCGUGUCGUGAGAUGUUGGGUUAAGUCCCGCAACGAGCGCAACCCUUAUUAUCAGUUGCCAGCAUUAAGUUGGGCACUCUGGUGAGACUGCCGGUGACAAACCGGAGGAAGGUGGGGAUGACGUCAAAUCAUCAUGCCCCUUAUGACCUGGGCUACACACGUGCUACAAUGGAUGGUACAACGAGUUGCGAACUCGCGAGAGUAAGCUAAUCUCUUAAAGCCAUUCUCAGUUCGGAUUGUAGGCUGCAACUCGCCUACAUGAAGUCGGAAUCGCUAGUAAUCGCGGAUCAGCAUGCCGCGGUGAAUACGUUCCCGGGCCUUGUACACACCGCCCGUCACACCAUGAGAGUUUGUAACAC